GAUAGGUACACAGCGACAUAGAUACACAGACAGAUAGGUACACAGAAACAUAGAUACAUAGACAGAGAGGUACACAGGGUCUUAGAUACACAGACAUAUAGGUACGCAGCGUCAUAGAUACACAGACUGAUAGGUACACAUGGACAUAGAUACAUAGACAGAUAGGUACACAGAGACAUAGAUGCACAGAGAGAAAGUUACACAGGGACAUAGAUACACAGAGAGAUAGGUACACAGGGACAUAGAUAGAUAGACAGAUAGUUACACAGGGACUCAGAUUCAUAGACAGAAAGGUACACAGCGACAUAGAUACACAGAGAGAUAGGAACACAGGGACAUAGUUUCACAGAGAGAUAGGUCCACAGGAACAUAGAUACACAGACAGAUAGGUACACAGGGACAUAGAUUCACAGAGAGAUAGGGACACAAGGACAUAGAUACAGAGACUGAUAGGCACACAGGGACAUAGAUACACAGAGAGAUAGGUAUCCAGGGACAUAGAUACACUGAGAGAUAGGUACACACAGACAUAGAUACACAGACAGAUAGGUACACAGGGACAUAGAUUCACAGACAGAUAGGUACACAGGGACAUAGAUACACAGACAGAUAGGUACACAGCGAC